GGCUGACUUGAAAGUAAUGAGUUAUCUCAACUGAUUUUUCAGUCAGUAACAGAUCUAAGUCUUUGCUCUACUCUCUCCUCUUAUCACUACUGCACUUGACUAGUUUUUU
ensembl:misc_RNA Y_RNA Y RNA